UGUGUAGGCGGUUGUCUAAGUUUGGUGUGAAAUCUCCCGGCUCAACUGGGAGGGUGCGCCGAAUACUGAAUGACUAGAGUGCGGGAGAGGAAAGUGGAAUUCCUGGUGUAGCGGUGAAAUGCGUAGAUAUCAGGAGGAACACCGGUGGUGUAGACGGCUUUCUGGACCGUAACUGACGCUGAAACACGAAAGCGUGGGUAGCAAACAGGAUUAGAUACCCUGGUAGUCCACGCCCUAAACGAUGCACAUUUGGUGUGGGUCAUUCAGUUGAUCCGUGCCGGAGCUAACGCGUUAAAUGUGCCGCCUGGGGAGUACAGUCGCAAGGCUGAA
rnacentral:rRNA from 1 species